rnacentral:rRNA from 1 species
AGUGAACGCUGGCGGUAGGCCUAACACAUGCAAGUCGAACGGCAGCACAGUAAGAGCUUGCUCUUACGGGUGGCGAGUGGCGGACGGGUGAGGAAUACAUCGGAAUCUACUUUUUCGUGGGGGAUAACGUAGGGAAACUUACGCUAAUACCGCAUACGACCUACGGGUGAAAGCAGGGGAUCUUCGGACCUUGCGCGAUUGAAUGAGCCGAUGUCGGAUUAGCUAGUUGGCGGGGUAAAGGCCCACCAAGGCGACGAUCCGUAGCUGGUCUGAGAGGAUGAACAGCCACACGAGAACAGACACACGCUCGAGACUUCUACGAGGGACAGCAGGGGAAAAUAGUAGACUAGGGGCGAAAGCCAUAUCGAGCCAUACCGUGGGUGAAGAAGGCCUUCGGGUUGUAAAGCCCUUUUGUUGGGAAAGAAAAGCAGCAGGUUAAUACCCCGCUGUUCUGACGGUACCCAAAGAAUAAGCACCGGCUAACUUCGUG